UCUCCGUUGGUGAACCAGCGGAGGGAUCAUUACAGAGUCGUAAAACACUCCCAAACCAUUGUGAACUUACCAUUUGUUGCCUCGGCGGUCCCCUGCCGGAUAGCGAGCUACCCUGUAGCGACCUACCCUGUAGCCCGCCGGUGGACAUCUAAACUCUUGUUUUUAGUGUCUCUUCUGAGUUAAACAAACAAAUGAAUCAAAACUUUCAACAACGGAUCUCUUGGUUCUGGCAUCGAUGAAGAACGCAGC
rnacentral:misc_RNA from 1 species